rnacentral:rRNA from 1 species
AACGAACGCUGGCGGCAGGCCUAACACAUGCAAGUCGAACGGAUCCUUCGGGAUUAGUGGCAGACGGGUGAGUAACGCGUGGGAAGCUACCUUGUGGUAGGGAACAACAGUUGGAAACGACUGCUAAUACCCUAUGAGCCCUAUGGGGGAAAGAUUUAUCGCCAUGAGAUGUGCCCGCGUUAGAUUAGCUAGUUGGUAAGGUAAUGGCUUACCAAGGCGACGAUCUAUAGCUGGUCUGAGAGGAUGAUCAGCCACACUGGGACUGAGACACGGCCCAGACUCCUACGGGAGGCAGCAGUGGGGAAUAUUGGACAAUGGGGGCAACCCUGAUCCAGCCAUGCCGCGUGAGUGAUGACGGCCUUAGGGUUGUAAAGCUCUUUCAGCAGUGAAGAUAAUGACAUUAACUGCAGAAGAAGCCCCGGCUAACUUCGUGCCAGCAGCCGCGGUAAUACGAAGGGGGCUAGCGUUGUUCGGAAUCACUGGGCGUAAAGCGUACGUAGGCGGACUGAUCAGUCAGGGGUGAAAUCCCGGGGCUCAACCCCGGAACUGCCUUUGAUACUGUCAGUCUUGAGAUCGAGAGAGGUGAGUGGAACUCCGAGUGUAGAGGUGAAAUUCGUAGAUAUUCGGAAGAACACCAGUGGCGAAGGCGGCUCACUGGCUCGAWAMC